rnacentral:pre_miRNA from 2 species
UCACAUUCGUGCUAUAUGGCACACAGUUGAUUUAUAUUAUUUUCUAGUUCAUAAGUCUGUUGAGUGCCAUAGAGCAAGAAGUGUGAU